GUUAUGAGCAUUGUUGUCCUUCAUAUAAGAAUGCAGGUUUCAUUGUUGUAAAGAGUGUCGGUUUUUUCCCUGGGAAUUGGAAUUUGUUUGUUAGAGUCAUUCAGAAUUGAAUUAUUGAUGUCAUUUGUUGAAGAAUUACUCGUCUCGCGCUUUAUUCACGAAGCAACAGUUGACUACUAGGAUUUCUCAAUCGACAGAAACGUGUACGGUACUUUUGAACCAUUAAAAAAUACCUUCCUGAAACGCUAACCAUCACCGAAACCUGGCUACCAAAGUAUAUUGAUGGUGAUGCAGCUAUAUUAUAUAUGGCUACAGCGAGGCUUAGGAUGCUUGUAUCUGAAUUAUCUCUGUGAAUUGUGCGACGAAUCCAUUGGCAUCUGGCGUUGUCUUGGAUUGACGACUCCAGUAAGAGUGAAGACGCCAAUAAAAAUAUGACAUUUAGUUUGGCAGCUUAAACCUGUAGGACGCGAUGUCUGCUGCAGAUGCUGAAUCUAUGUCAUAUUCUAAAAUUUUGCUAGAAAAAUGUCAUUUUUAAAAAUAUCUUGGAGUAGAUAUAAUACCCACAACAGUUCCAAAAUAAAUCUUAUGAAAGCCCUGCAUUGUAUUUAUGCCAUAUUGCUAUCAUAUUUUUGUGCUAAUUUUCAACUCAUAUAUACAUGCCACAUAUAUAAUUGUAUAGUGGCCACUUAAUGGUGACCUAUAAAAUUGCAUCCAUUCCAAUGACAUAACCCGUUGACCAUGACGUUGAUGUGGAUAUCAAUAUAAGCAAUAUACUUUAUUGAGACAUGUGCAAA